UACGUAGGGGGCAAGCGUUGUCCGGAAUCAUUGGGCGUAAAGAGCGCGCAGGCGGUCGAUCAAGUCGAGUGUGAAAGCCCCCGGCUCAACUGGGGAGGGUCAUUCGAUACUGAUCGACUCGAAGGCAGGAGAGGGUAGUGGAAUUCCCGGUGUAGUGGUGAAAUGCGUAGAUAUCGGGAGGAACACCAGUGGCGAAGGCGACUACCUGGCCUGUUCUUGACGCUGAGGCGCGAAAGCUAGGGGAGCAAACGGG
rnacentral:rRNA from 1 species